GAUGAACGCUGGCGGCGUGCCUAAUACAUGCAAGUCGAGCGAACAGACGAGGAGCUUGAUCCUCUGACGUUAGCGGCGGACGGGUGAGUAACACGUGGAUAACCUACCUAUAAGACUGGGAUAACUUCGGGAAACCGGAGCUAAUACCGGAUAAUAUAUUGAACCGCAUGGUUCAAUAGUGAAAGACGGUUUUGCUGUCACUUAUAGAUGGAUCCGCGCCGCAUUAGCUAGUUGGUAAGGUAACGGCUUACCAAGGCGACGAUGCGUAGCCGACCUGAGAGGGUGAUCGGCCACACUGGAACUGAGACACGGUCCAGACUCCUACGGGAGGCAGCAGUAGGGAAUCUUCCGCAAUGGGCGAAAGCCUGACGGAGCAACGCCGCGUGAGUGAUGAAGGUCUUCGGAUCGUAAAACUCUGUUAUUAGGGAAGAACAAAUGUGUAAGUAACUAUGCACGUCUUGACGGUACCUAAUCAGAAAGCCACGGCUAACUACGUG
rnacentral:rRNA from 1 species